AAGUCAUGUUGAGGGAAACUUCUUAGCAAGCCCUUUUAUCUCUCCCAAGCUUCAUAUAACAACUCUCCUGCCUCAUGUUGGAAGUUAGCAAUCUUCUUUUUGAGAUU